rnacentral:tRNA from 1 species
CGUCCUCGAAGCGCCCGGCCACGUCGCGCGCGAUCUCGACGAGGUCGCAGGGGGCGCGCUCCAGCGCCAGGCGCCCGCUCCGGAUCCGGGCGAGGUCGA